rnacentral:rRNA from 1 species
GGCCGGGUUGGGUGGUCUUGCCGCAAGGUAAGCACUGCUCCGAUCUGGUCUUUCCUUCUGGGGAACCAAUGUGCUCUUAACUGAGUGCGUUGGGGAUCCAGGACUUUUACUUUGAAAAAAUUAGAGUGUUUAAAGCAGGCCUACGCUUGAAUACAUUAGCAUGGAAUAAUGAAAUAGGAC